GUGUAAUUUUUUUUUACAUGGUUGCAAUUUUCAGUUAUUAAAAAAAUUCACAUUCCUAUUUCAAAGUGAUCAAAUUUUCAAUAUACAUAUUUUUCACAGUUUAAAUUUUCAGUGUUAAAAAAUUCAGCAUAUAAAAAAAUUCAACUUUUCAAAAUUCAAAUGCAACAUUUUCGUUGUCCUCCAAUUCAACUUGCUCAAAUUCGCCGUCUCAAAUUCACCGUCUAAAAAUUCGCUGUCUCAAAUUCAGCGUCUAAAAAUUCGCUGUAAAAAUGGCCAAGGUUACUUCAGGUCACCUAAUCACGUGACACAACCGUCACAUUGAAGAAGUACCAGUAUCACCCAGGCUGGCGACCAUGGAGGCGAACUCAAACCCAACGGGUACGUGCCGAUCAAGGGGUGGAAAAUGUGGACGUGGCACGACUUAUGUUUAUGAUUCGUGGAACAGGAAGAAGCAGUUUCAUAUCUGGGAAGAGUGUGCACAAUCAAAGGAUUGAGCGACUGUGGAGAGAUCUGUGGACGGCUGUGACGUGCAUCUAUUAUGAUGUGCUGCACUACCUAGAAGAAGAGGGAUACCUGGACAUUUCCAAUGAAGCCCAACUCUUCUGUUGCCACUAUGUCUUCCUGCCACGUCUGCAAGAUUUGGAUACUUUCCGCAGUGGCUGGGACAAUCACCCACUUCGAACUGAAAGCAACAUGACACCUAACCAGCUCUGGGUUCUUGGUCAUACACAUAAUCCAAUUCCUGAACCUCAUGGUGCCUUGACAGAGGGUGUACAGAUUCCCGAAAUCGAAUGGGAGGACAGCGGGCUUCCUCUUCACGAGGAGUCAAAUGUCACAGUACCAAACUCUAAUUUGCAACUGACUGACGAACAAAUGGCAGCUUUAAGAAAUGCAGUAAACCCAAAAGCCACAUCACUGUCUUUUGGAUGUGACAUUUAUAUUGCUGCAGUUCAGUUUUGUGAGCAGUUUUUUACUGUGUGAAAGUUAUCUUACGGGAAAAACACAUCACGGUUAUGAUUAGUUACUUAUAUACAAUCAUAUGUUAAAUAUGGUAAGCAUAAUUUACUUGGUUAUUAUUAUUCACUGAAUUUAACUUGUACAUAAUUGCAAAAAAUGACAUAAAAAAUAAAUGCAAAGCAUGAUUUAUUUUGAAGAAUACUUAACAGGAUCUAGUUUUGUCUUUUUGCCACUAUCUUGGCUUCUGUUGAUUUUGAUUGCUCGGUUCUAAACAGCCCUUUGCCGUUAUUCAGCUAUUGUAUUGUUCAAUAAAAAUCUGAAAAUAAAAUGUUCAGCAAAUACA